rnacentral:rRNA from 1 species
GAUGAACGCUGGCGGCGUGCCUAAUACAUGCAAGUCGAGCGAACGGACGAGAAGCUUGCUUCUCUGAUGUUAGCGGCGGACGGGUGAGUAACACGUGGAUAACCUACCUAUAAGACUGGGAUAACUUCGGGGAACCGGAGCUAAUACCGGAUAAAAUUUUGAACCGCAUGGUUCAAAAGUGAAAGACGGUCUUGCUGUCACUUAUAGAUGGAUCCGCGCUGCAUUAGCUAGUUGGUAAGGUAACGGCUUACCAAGGCAACGAUGCAUAGCCGACCUGAGAGGGUGAUCGGCCACACUGGAACUGAGACACGGUCCAGACUCCUACGGGAGGCAGCAGUAGGGAAUCUUCCGCAAUGGGCGAAAGCCUGACGGAGCAACGCCGCGUGAGUGAUGAAGGUCUUCGGAUCGUAAAACUCUGUUAUUAGGGAAGAACAUAUGUGUAAGUAACUGUGCACAUCUUGACGGUACCUAAUCAGAAAGCCACGGCUAACUACGUG